CUUGGUCAUUUAGAGGAAGUAAAAGUCGUAACAAGGUUUCCGUAGGUGAACCUGCGGAAGGAUCAUUAUCGUAGGGCUUCGGCCCUGUCGAGAUAGAACCCUUGCCUUUUUGAGUACCUUUUCGUUUCCUCGGCAGGCUCGCCUGCCAAUGGGGACCCCAAAAAACACUUUGCAGUACCUGUAAACAGUCUGAACAAACUUUAAAAAUUAAAACUUUCAACAACGGAUCUCUUGGUUCUGGCAUCGAUGAAGAACGCAGCGAAAUGCGAUAAGUAGUGUGAAUUGCAGAAUUCAGUGAAUCAUCGAAUCUUUGAACGCACAUUGCGCCCUUUGGUAUUCCUUAGGGCAUGCCUGUUCGAGCGUCAUUUAAACCUUCAAGCUCAGCUUGGUGUUGGGUGACUGUCCGCUUGCGGACUCGCCUCAAAAUGAUUGGCGGCCGGUACUUUUGGCUUCGAGCGCAGCAGAAACGCGAACUCGAGGCCUGUGUGCUGGCUCCCAGAAGCUAUCUUCACAAUUUUGACCUCGGAUCAGGUAGGGAUACCCGCUGAACUUAAGCAUAUCAAUAAGCGGAGGA
rnacentral:rRNA from 1 species